rnacentral:lncRNA from 1 species
AGAGAUAUGACAUACAAAGAAUUUAAAUUUGAAAAUUAAAAAUUUAAUUUUAAUUCAAAUUUAAAUUUAGAUUUUAAAUUUUUUAAAAAUAAAAUUUAAUAAAAAAUUUUAAUUUAUGCAAACAUCAAAAAAUUUUGCCAAACAGUUUGUCAAAAAGCACAUCAAAAAAAUCACUUUUAUCUAAAUUCAGUCAAACGCUCUACAGCUUUUAACCAAUAUUUCGCUAAACCAAAAUCACUUUUUCAGAAGCUAGGCCAAACGAGCCCUUAGACCUAAUUAGUCGGACAUGGUUGUGAUUGUUCUUCCGGCUUUCCGCCAUCAUUAGCCAUUGAGCAUAUAGUAUCGAUCGCCACAGCUCAUACGCAUUUCACGAACACCAGCGGUUUGAUCCACUGCAA